rnacentral:rRNA from 1 species
UACGUAGGGACCGAGCGUUGUCCGGAAUCAUUGGGCGUAAAGAGCGUGUAGGCGGCUAUUUAAGUCCUGCGUGAAAUCCUGCGGCUCAACCGCAGACGGUCGUGGGAAACUGGAUGGCUAGAGUGCGGGAGAGGAGAGUGGAAUUCCCGGUGUAGCGGUAAAAUGCGCAGAUAUCGGGAAGAACACCCGUGGCGAAGGCGGCUCUCUGGAACGCAACUGACGCUGAGACGCGAAAGCGUGGGGAGCAAACAGG